rnacentral:rRNA from 1 species
CCUACGGGUUGCACCAGUGAGGAAUAUUGGUCAAUGGACGCAAGUCUGAACCAGCCAUGCCGCGUGCAGGAAGACGGCCCUACGGGCUGUAAACUGCUUUUGUAAGGGAAUAAACCCCCGGACGUGUCCGGGGCUGAAGGUACCUUACGAAUAAGCAUCGGCUAACUCCGUGCCAGCAGCCGCGGUAAUACGGAGGAUGCAAGCGUUAUCCGGAUUCAUUGGGUUUAAAGGGUGCGUAGGCGGAAUAUUAAGUCAGUGGUGAAAUCUCUCAGCUUAACUGAGAAACUGCCGUUGAUACUGAUGUUCUUGAGUUUGGCUGAAGUGGGCGGAAUGAGGCAUGUAGCGGUGAAAUGCAUAGAUAUGCCUCAGAACACCAAUUGCGAAGGCAGCUCACUAAACCAAUACUGACGCUGAGGCACGAAAGCGUGGGGAGCAAACAGGAUUAGAUACCCGCGUAGUC